UACAGAGGUCCCAAGCGUUGUUCGGAUUCACUGGGCGUAAAGGGUGCGUAGGUGGCUUGGUAAGUUUGAUGUGAAAUCUCCGGGCUUAACCCGGAAAUGGCAUUGAAUACUAUUGAGCUGGAGGUUUGGAGGGGGGGACUGGAAUUCUCGGUGUAGCAGUGAAAUGCGUAGAUAUCGAGAGGAACACCAGUGGCGAAGGCGAGUCCCUGGACAACACCUGACACUGAGGCACGAAAGCUAGGGGAGCAAACAGG
rnacentral:rRNA from 1 species